GCUUGUCUCAAAGAUUAAGCCAUGCAUGUCUAAGUACAAGCCUCAGUAAGGUGAAACCGCGAAUGGCUCAUUAAAUCACACCUAAUCUACUGGAAAGUUACUAGUUACUUGGAUAACUGAGGUAAUUCUUGAGCUAAUACAUGCGAAAAAUCUCGACUCACGGAGAGAUGCUUUUAUUAGACCAAAACCAAUCGGGCUUCGGCCUGAUCACUUGGUGACUCUGAAUAACUGAGCUGAUCGCAUGGUCUUUGUACCGGCGACGCAUCUUUCAAGUGUCUGCCUUAUCAACUUUCGAUGGUAGUUUAUGUGCCUACCAUGGUUGUUACGGGUAACGGAGAAUAAGGGUUCGACUCCGGAGAGGGAGCCUGAGAAACGGCUACCACAUCCAAGGAAGGCAGCAGG
rnacentral:rRNA from 1 species